AAAAACUCUGUGUCUGCCAAGUAAAGUAUGGUGGCUUCGGCAGCGCUGCGCCGGCUCCGCUCCUCGCGGCGGCUCCGGCUUGCCGGCGACGGCGCCUACGGCAGCGCGAGUGCCUCCGCCGCUUCCGUCGGGCUGGAGCGCGUGGAGGACACGAGCCGCCGCAUCGCGGAGCUGGCCGCGGAGGGGCGCGUGUGGGACGCGCGCAGGCUGUUCGACGGGACGCCCGACCGGGACGUGGUGACCUGGACGGCCAUGGUGUCGGCGUACGCGCGGCGCGGGAUGCUGCGGGACGCGCGGGCGCUGUUCAACCGCCCCGACGCGCGUCGGAACGUGGUCACCUGGACGGCGCUCCUCUCCGGGUACGCGCGCGCACGCCGCGUUGACGAGGCCGAGGCGCUGUUCGAGCGGAUGCCCCAGCGGAACGUCGUGUCCUGGAACACGAUGCUGGAGGCAUACGUCGCUGCGGGCCGAGUGGAUGAUGCCUGUGCGCUGUUCGACCGCAUGCCAGUGAGGGAUGCCGGCUCAUGGAACAUUCUGCUGGCCGGACUGGUGCGGUCAGGGAGCGUGGAUAGUGCGCGAGAGCUGUUUGCAAGAAUGCCAGAUAGGGAUGUGAUGGCUUAUACGACCAUGGUUACCGGCAUUGCGUGGUACGGUAAUGUUGAUGAAGCUCGAGUGUUGUUCGAUGUCAUGCCAAGCAGGAAUGUGGUUUCUUGGAACGCCAUGAUCUCUGGGUACAUAAGUAAUGACAGGAUUGAUGAAGCGCUGGAUUUGUUCAUGAAGAUGCACAGGAGGGAUGUUGCUUCUUGGAACAUUAUGAUUAACGGUUUUAUCCGGAGAAAAGAUUUGAAGAGGGCACGGGAGCUAUUUGAUGAGGCACCUGAAAGGAAUGUUGUCACUUGGACUACCAUGAUAAAUGGUUACUUGCAAGGCAUGCAAAGUGAAAUGGCACUGGGGUUCUUUAAUGGUAUGCUUACGGCAGGUAUCAGACCAAAUAAAGUGACAUUUUUGGGUGCUAUUGAUGCUUGCAGCAACCUUGCGGCACUCUGUGAAGGGCAGCAGGUGCAUCAAAUGUUAUGCAAAACGGCAUUUCAGUUUGAUACUUUUGUCGAGUCCGCCCUGAUGAAUUUAUAUUCCAAGUGUGGCGAAAUUGGGUUGGCAAGAAAGUUGUUUGAUCUUUCUAGGGAGAAGGACUUGAUCUCUUGGAAUGGAAUCAUUGCGGCAUAUGCGCAUCAUGUUGUUGGCAUAGAAGCUAUACGCCUGUAUGACAAGAUGCAAGAAAAUGGAUAUAAGCCUAAUGAUGUCACAUAUGUGGUGUUGCUCUCAGCAUGUAGCCACUCUGGUUUGGUUGAUGAAGGGCUUAGGAUCUUUGAAUCAAUGGUUAAAGAUAGGUCAGUUGCUGUGCGUGAUGAACAUUAUACUAGCUUGAUUGAUCUUUGUAGCCGAGCAGGACGGCUUGAUGAUGCCAAAAGGUUAAUUCACUGCCUGAAGAUUAAGCCUGCAUCAGGUUCUGUCUGGAGUGCCCUUCUAGGUGGGUGUAAUGCACAUGGAAAUGUGAGCAUUGGCAAUUUGGCAGCUAGAAGUCUCUUAGAAGCAGAACCUGAUAAUGCUGGAACUUAUACUCUCCUGUCUAACAUCUAUGCUUCUGCUGGUAAGUGGAAAGAAGCAGCACAGAUUAGGUCAGAGAUGAAUAAUCGUGGACUGAAGAAACAACCAGGAUGCAGUUGGAUUGAGGUGGCAAAUAAGGUUCAUGUAUUUGUAACACGUGAUAAUUCCCAUAGUGAAUCUGACUUGAUCAAUGGUCUGGUACAAGAUAUCCAUCACAUGAUGAGGAUUGCUGGAACUGUUCCCACUGACAAUAUGCUAGUUGAUGAGGAGGUAGUGGCUAUUUAGUUACAAUCGGAAGUAGUUUCAUUUGAACUGCGAGGAUUCAGUCAAACAAAGUAACCUCCAGCAUUCAAUCCAACCUUCUAGAGUAUGUUUGGCGUCCAUAAAGCGGCUGCCCUGUCAUCUGAAUCUUGACUCCUUGGGUUUUGGAUCAUGCCUUGCCAACUUUGCUAAUUUAUUUAGCACCUUCUGUCUCAGGUUGUCUAAUUUACCUCCAAGAAACUUUGCUUUAUCCUUAUCCAUGGAUUUGGACCUCAGACUCAUCUUUGCCUUGGAAACAAGUUACUUCAGCUGCUAAGGUGCUUACAAUCGUGGCAUCGUACCAUGCUUACCAAUCCUUCAGCAUGCAGAUGAAAGGCCAUGCUUACCUUGGACUUCCAGUCUCAGGCUCCAGUUGACAAAAGAAGUUUGGAGACACCAAAAGGCAAAAACUUUUAUGCAGGUCUCCUGGUGGCAAUGAACCCAGUACGAGCAAUAACUUCAGAAAAUAGCUACCUUGAGCAGGUGAGGAGGACUUGCCAAUCUCAAACAUGCAGCAAAUAGUUCCGGAGCACUGAUCUUGUUGUUUUGGAAUAGAAGGGCAGUUUCAUAUGCCGGAAUAAUAACAAUGGAUAUGGAUAUGUUUGCUCUGCUGCUGGUUCUUCACUUGAUUGCUGGAGGGAUUUUUUACAUACCCACUCAAGGUGCCAAACAAAUAAUCCCGUAUUCUUUGCCUUAGAAGACGUGAUCUUCAGGCCCAACAUUAGUGGGUGGAUCACUGUCCGGCCCAAACGGCCCAACUGCCAUAUCAGCCCACCACCACCAACCCCACUCCACAACCUCUUCGAAUAGUCCCACCACACCGACGAGCAGGACUGCAGGAGGCACGCUCCUCCCCGAUCCCGAUCUCCGGCCGACGCCAUGGCCGCCGCCGCAGGCAUCGCGGCGGUAGUAGGGGUGCUCGUCCUCCUCGUCGCGGGGGGCUCGGGCGCACGCCUCCCCGCCCGCGGCGCCGCGGACCGCGGACAGGCGUUGCCGCGCGGGGGAGCGCCGGCCACGGCGGUGUUCGCGCUGGGCAGCUUCUGGAGGUCGGAGGCGGCGUUUAGCUGCCUUCCCGGCGUGAUCCGCACCUCCGUUGGUUAUGCUGGCGGCUCCAAGGUCAACCCCGAGUACCGCAACCUCGCCGACCACGCCGAGUGCGUCAAGGUUGAGUAUGAACCCCGUCUGAUUCACUACAAGCAGCUUUUGGAUGUGUUUUGGGCAAGUCAUGAUCCACGGGAGGUGUUUGGGCAAGGGCCAGAUGUUGGCAACCAGUACAGAUCUGUCAUCUUCACUAAUGGAACCAUUGAGGCCAGAUUGGCUGCUCUUAGCAAAGAAAAAGAACAAGCUAAAGAUCGCAGCAGUGUUAUUACCACACAGAUCCAACCAUUGGGGGUGUUUCAUCCUGCUGAACCAGAACAUCAGAAAUUUGAACUGAAGCGCAAGCCAUUCCUCCUGCAAUUAAUUGGGAAUUUGCCAGAGGAGGAGCUGCUAACAUCAACACUAGCUGCAAAGCUGAAUGCAUAUGCUGCUGAGCUCUGCCCUGCGAAUACCCAAAAGAGAAUUCGCUCCAAGAUUGAUGAGAUUGCUAAGAAAGGAUGGCCCAUCUUAAGGGAAAUUUAGUUGAUACUAGAUCCUGGACUCAAAUCGGUUGUUGCAGUGUAGACACAAGAAAGGUGCAUGAUUUUGCAGAAAAUAAUUUUAGGAAUAUUUCUUCUGUGCACCAUUGCCAUGAUGGCCUCAGUCAUCCAUUCUUCACUUUGCUCACAAAGAUAGUUGUGCAUAGCAUGUGCAUUGAAAUUGUGACUAUAGAAGUGUGUGUUACCCCAUUUGUAACCCGAAAUCAUGGUCCAAGCUUACUGAACAAACAGUAGUUGUCCGUUGUAAUUUUGAUUGUUCAUUUGUGAAAAUAUAGAUUUUGUUCUUAUUCAGCAGAGCUUGUGCAUGUGAAUAUGACCAUGAAAGGUUUAUUGA